GCGGCUGCAGGCGUUCGCUGGGGCCUCGGGGAGCAGAGGGACAGGUCCCACUGAAGUUGCUGGUGGAUGAAGAUGGCAGGUCGCCGAUGGCUCGUGUCCCCCGUUCAAGGCCUGCUGCUCUGCAUCUUGGCUCUGCACCUCUGCGCCCAGGACCCUCUUGCCACAGCAG